CCCUAUCAACGCCUUCCCCUAAUCCACACCAAUCUCCUCCGCUGCAACGCCGCCGUUCACCCACCGGUCGCCCGAAUCGAUGGCCUCAUCCGCCUCCGUCUCCCCUGCCGCCGCCGCCUCCGUCUCCGGCACCCAUCACCGCGGCCUACUCCCCUGUUUCCUGCGCCGUCUCCCUCGCACCCGCUCGCGCCCGCGCUCGUGCUCCCGCCUACACCUCGCCGCUUGCCACGCCGACACCCUCCUCUGCCCCCCCGGAGCCCAGAGUCCGCUUGCUCCCGCGGCUUGCCCAUCCGCAUCCUCAGCUGGCGGUUUCUCGGACUGGCUGCUCACGCACGGGCUGCCGCCGGGCAAGGUGUCCAUCCUAGAGCGCCCAGUGCCCUGUUCCCGCGGGGGCAAGGACCGGCCACUGCACUAUGUCGCUGCGGGCCAGGACCUCGAGGCCGGGGAUGUGGCGUUCGAGGUGCCCAUGUCGCUUGUUGUCACGCUGGAGCGGGUUCUAGGCGACGAGUCCAUUGCUGAAUUAUUAACAACAAACAAAUUGUCUGAGUUGGCAUGCUUGGCAUUGUAUCUCAUGUAUGAGAAGAAGCAAGGAAAAGAUUCACUUUGGUACCCGUACAUUAAAGAACUUGAUCGACAGCGAGGUAGGGGGCAGCUAGCUGUUGAAUCACCUCUUUUAUGGACUGAAAGUGAACUGGAUUACCUGAAUGGCAGCCCCAUGAGGGAUGAAGUGGUUGUCAGAGAUGAGGGAAUAAGAAGAGAAUAUAAUGAGCUUGACACAUUGUGGUUCAUGGCAGGUUCAUUGUUUAAGCAAUACCCUUUUGAUGUACCUACCGAGGCGUUUCCGUUUGAGAUUUUCAAGCAGGCAUUUGUUGCAGUACAGUCUUGUGUGGUUCAUUUGCAGAAGGUUAGUUUAGCUCGAAGAUUUGCGCUAGUUCCCUUGGGCCCACCACUUUUGACAUACAAGAGCAACUGCAAAGCAAUGUUGACAGCUGUUGAUGAUUCUGUUCGACUGGUGGUGGAUCGGCCAUACAAAGCAGGAGAACCGAUAAUCGUUUGGUGUGGACCACAACCAAACUCCAGGUUGCUUCUCAAUUAUGGUUUUGUUGAUGAAGACAAUCCCUAUGAUCGUAUAGCAAUCGAGGCAUCCCUAAACACCGAAGAUCCUCAAUACCAAGAGAAGCGAAUGGUUGCUCAAAGAAAUGGAAAGCUUGCUAUCCAAAAAUUCCAAGUCUGUGUAGGUAAAGAGAAGGAAACUGUUUCUGAAAUGCUGCCUUAUUUGAGACUAGGAUACAUUUCAGAUCCUGAUGAAAUGCAAUGUAUACUUUCAUCGGAAGGUGAUACGUGUCCAGGACUGUUCGGUCUAAAUCGUGCUUUUACAGUCGAGCAGAUUUUGGGUUUCUUGCCUGUUAGUCCAUGCUCAGAGCGAGCCGUACUGGACCAACUUGUUGUGUAUCUGAAAUCAAGAUUGGCUGGUUAUCCAACUACUUUGGAUGAAGAUGAAGCAAUGUUGGCUGAUGGCAAUUUGGAACCAAAGAAAGAAGUUGCUACCAGACUUGUAAGGUUAGAGAAGAGAAUGCUGCAUGGCUGUCUUCAGGCUGCUAACGAGUUUAUAAGCGGUUUGCCUGACCAUACCGUGUCACCUUGCCCUGCUCUAUAUGCCCCCGAGUUGAAAUAAGAUUCUUGAAUGGCCCAAAUGCUGUUGCUGUAUUUGUACUGCAGCCCCUGAUGAUGUACAACUGAAGUCUGAUUGGAAUGCUUCUCAUAUUCAUGUGCAAAGGCCCUGUUGGGUGGCCUAAAUAGCUGAGUUUAUGGUUCUGGAUUGGUUUGUUGGGAAUACUAACGAAUCUCUAGAAAAAAGGCCAGUUUUUUCCCAUUAAUUUUUAAUUUGUUUUUUGAAAAUAAAAUAUGUUGAAAGCUAUAAGUUCAAACUAUGAAUCGUUUUCACUUUUGAGAUUCUUGGGUCAAGAUCUUCAAAACUACAUUCUACAUUGAUAGGUUUUGAGAAACUAUUUUUUCGUACUUCCAAAACUAGUAUGGUUGUUACUCGGGGUUUUUACUAAGUGUACUCGUGGUUUGCUGUACUCCGAGGUUUUGCUAGGAGUGUACUUGUGCUUUGGUUUUCUGUGAGUUGUGCUCGCCCUUUGAUGCACUCGUCUUCUGUAUGUAACUAUACUCAUGUUCUGUGCGCAACUGUAUUUAGGUGUUUACUGAGUUGUACUCGUCCUUUGAUGUACUUGUACUCUCUAUGUAAUUGUACUCGGGUGUUCACUGAGUUGUAUUCGUCAUUCGAUGUAUUUGUCCUCGGUAUGUAAUUGUACUCAUGUUUUGUAUGUAAAUGUACUUAGGUAUUCACUGAGUUGUACUUGUCUUUCGUUGUACUCAUACUCUCUACGUAACCGUACAUGUUCUUUUAAUUGUAUUUGGGUGUUUACUAGGUUGUACUCGCCGUCACGGACUUAGGGAAGAAGCUAGAAAAAAUGGGAGUUCUAUUCAUCCUUCGAUGUACUCGUCCUUCAAUGUACUCGUGCUCGGAUGUAAUUGUACUCGUGCUCUGUACGUAAAUGUACUCAUGUAUUCAUUGAGUUGUACUUGUCUUU